AGUUAAAAUACAAAGACUUAGGGCUGGUCGAUUUUUCCGAUUUUAUAGAUUAAUUCGAAUUUAAUGUUUUGCCAC